CUGAAUGGAGUUUUUAAGGAAGAAUUUGAAGAUCACUAAAGUAACUGUAUUGCUAUUAACAGAGAACAUUUCUGCAGCCUGAGCUACCACAUGGUGGAAACCAGAGAUCCCAGGCCUACUUGAUCUUGUCCAUUUGGCACUGCUGGAGGAAUAACAAGUUUCUUCCCAUCAUGCAUCUUUCUGGGAUACAUCAUGACAGGGAAAUCUCAAAGCCCAGGUCAAUUAUAACAGAAGAUGUGUAGCACCUCUGCCCCCACGGCGUCUUCUGGGGAAUCCACUUGGCAAAAUGAUAUAAAACUAUUUUCGAAGACUUCCCAUGAUCUGGCACUACUUAGAACUAAGUGACUGGCAAAAUGUAAGGAAAUGUGCAUAUGCAGCUCAGCUCAUCUGCCUCUGCUUGCCAAGGAGCCAACUAACAUUGCGUGUGAGGAGGGGCCUGAGGCUGGCAGAGUUCUCACAGAAAGAGAGCUGCCAGGUGAAGAUGUCCUUGUGAGGCACAACAGUGGCUCUGGGGAAGAUUGUCUCCAAGGAAGGGCAGCACAAAGCCAGGC
rnacentral:lncRNA from 1 species